rnacentral:rRNA from 1 species
AUUGAACGCUGGCGGCAGGCCUAACACAUGCAAGUCGAGCGGAGCGGCGGACGGGUGAGUAAUGCCUGGGAAUCUGCCUGGUAGUGGGGGAUAACGUCCGGAAACGGGCGCUAAUACCGCAUACUCUCAGAUGAGCCUAGGUCGGAUUAGCUAGUGGUGGGGGUAAAGGCCUACAAAGGCGACGAUCCGUAACUGGUCUGCGAGGAUGAUCAGUCACACUGGAACUGCGACACGGUCCAGACUCUGACGGGAGGCAGCAGUGGGGAAUAGUGGACAAUGGGCGAAAGCCUGAUCCAGCCAUGCCGCGGGUGUGAAGAAGGUCUUCGGAUUGUAAAGCACUUUAAGUUGGGAGGCGUUACCAACAGAAUAAGCACCGGCUAACUCCGUGCCAGCCGCCGCGGUAAUUC